CCCAUCGUCCUCCCUCGCUGGAGCGCCGCCGCACGCUGCCAUCACCGCCGCCGAGGUGCUGCUACCGCCGCCGACGCCUCUCCGGUCGCCCCCAACCCCAACCAAGCCCACCUACAGGUACGAGGGUAGAUCAAUUGAAGGACGAUUGGAACAUGAAGAUGGAGAAAACUCCAAAAGAUGGUGUGUUAGUUUCUAUCUAGAAGGUGGUGGAUUAUCUAUCAUGAAGCUCCAACCUACUAAUUUAUAGUGAUACUUUACUCCCAGGCAAGCCCCGGAGCAUAACCUAUUAUUUUAACUUAUGAAAUGUUAUAUGAUUACUUGAUUAUGCAUUAAGUUUCCAAGCGUUGAAUGAAACCCUAGUUGCAUGAUCCCUAGGUUCCAUUGGUCGAAAUACUAGUAUGUGUAGGUCGAUAGCCUUGCCAUGCUAAAAAUAGGAAUCGGUAGAAGUCGAGUAAUUCCCUGUUACUCGCGAGAUAUAGGAUGUCUCUAUGAUUUGAUUAUAUGGAAUAUUGGAGUA